GAAUCCCGGACAGGAGUCCCACAGCACCAACGCCCUGCAGGGCACAGUUCGGGGUAGGUUGAUGGGAGGGAGAAUCUGACCGGCUAUUAUUCUGCAAACAGAGGCUGCUCAACACCUCGCCCUGGCCUUGAGGAUCAUCCCCGCGCAGUGUUUGAGAUGAUUGAUUCUCCCGGAGGCACGAGCAUCUGGUGAUUUUUAGAUGUGAUCCUCAGCUGUGGACAGAGAACAUGAGGCUGCCCAGUGCGUUUCCCGGGCCCUGAGGACCAUCCCUG